AUUACAUGCGUUAGCUUCUAUGUGUACCAUAUGUUUGCUAAUGGAUCAUUCGCUUAUGCUUUUCCAACUAUGCUGCUUGCUAUUGCGGUAGCUAUUCAUAUUUUUGUGCUCCUAAGAACCUGUGAAAAUCUUCAAUUUGAAAGUCAAAAGUCUGCGCAUUUGGUACAUGAUAUCCUUCAGACAAGUAAUGAGAAUAAAAAUGAUUUAAUAAGAAAUUGCUUAGUCAACAUAUCUCUUCAAAUUCACCAUGAAAAAAUUUCUAUUGGAUUUGGAAGACUUUUCAC